UACGAAGGGGGCUAGCGUUGUUCGGAAUUACUGGGCGUAAAGCGCACGUAGGCGGACAUUUAAGUCAGGGGUGAAAUCCCGGGGCUCAACCCCGGAACGGCCUUUGAUACUGGGUGUCUUGAGUUCGGAAGAGGUGAGUGGAAUUGCGAGUGUAGAGGUGAAAUUCGUAGAUAUUCGCAAGAACACCAGUGGCGAAGGCGGCUCACUGGCCCGAUACUGACGCUGAGGCACGAAAGCGUGGGGAGCAAACAGGG
rnacentral:rRNA from 1 species